rnacentral:ncRNA from 1 species
AAUAAAGCGAAGAAGAGGAAGAGUAAUUGUUCUUACGGAAAAUACAGAGAGCUGCCGGAUGGUGCGAGGCAGCCGGGAAAGUGCAGUGAACUGGCCUCAGAGCGGCCGGCUGAAGGUCUUUUAAAGAUUGGGUAGGUACGGACGGAGCUCCCGCCGUAAAAAGGGGAAUGGCAUGACAGUGCCGGUAAGUGCAUGGCGUAUCCGCCGUGAAAUAGAGUGGUACCGCGUAAAUGAUUACAUUGCGUCUCUAUA